rnacentral:ncRNA from 2 species
GUCAAGAGUAGAAGCGUUCAGUCGCGCAACCGUCCUCCCCGGAGGCGGUGCCGGCGGGUCAUUGCUCUUGGA